rnacentral:rRNA from 1 species
UAAGACAGGUGCUGCAUGGCUGUCGUCAGCUCGUGUCGUGAGAUGUUGGUUAAGUCCCGCAACGAGCGCAACCCCUAUCCUCAGUUGCCAUCAUUAAGUUGGGCACUCUGUGGAGACUGCCGGUGUUAAACCGGAGGAAGGUGGGGAUGACGUCAAGUCCUCAUGGCCCUUAUGACCAGGGCUACACACGUGCUACAAUGGCCGGUACAAAGAGUUGCGAUACAGCGAUGUGGAGCUAAUCUCAUAAAGCCGGUCUCAGUUCGGAUUGGAGUCUGCAACUCGACUCCAUGAAGUUGGAAUCGCUAGUAAUCGCGGAUCAGCAUGCCGCGGUCGAAUACGUUCCCGGGCCUU